rnacentral:rRNA from 1 species
UUUUAUGGAGAGUUUGAUCCUGGCUCAGGAUGAACGCUGGCGGCGUGCCUAAUACAUGCAAGUCGAGCGAACGGACGAGAAGCUUGCUUCUCUGAUGUUAGCGGCGGACGGGUGAGUAACACGUGGAUAACCUACCUAUAAGACUGGGAUAACUUCGGGAAACCGGAGCUAAUACCGGAUAAUAUUUUGAACCGCAUGGUUCAAAAGUGAAAGACGGUCUUGCUGUCACUUAUAGAUGGAUCCGCGCUGCAUUAGCUAGUUGGUAAGGUAACGGCUUACCAAGGCAACGAUGCAUAGCCGACCUGAGAGGGUGAUCGGCCACACUGGAACUGAGACACGGUCCAGACUCCUACGGGAGGCAGCAGUAGGGAAUCUUCCGCAAUGGGCGAAAGCCUGACGGAGCAACGCCGCGUGAGUGAUGAAGGUCUUCGGAUCGUAAAACUCUGUUAUUAGGGAAGAACAUAUGUGUAAGUAACUGUGCACAUCUUGACGGUACCUAAUCAGAAAGCCACGGCUAACUACGUGCCAGCAGCCGCGGUAAUACGUAGGUGGCAAGCGUUAUCCGGAAUUAUUGGGCGUAAAGCGCGCGUAGGCGGUUUUUUAAGUCUGAUGUGAAAGCCCACGGCUCAACCGUGGAGGGUCAUUGGAAACUGGAAAACUUGAGUGCAGAAGAGGAAAGUGGAAUUCCAUGUGUAGCGGUGAAAUGCGCAGAGAUAUGGAGGAACACCAGUGGCGAAGGCGACUUUCUGGUCUGUAACUGACGCUGAUGUGCGAAAGCGUGGGGAUCAAACAGGAUUAGAUACCCUGGUAGUCCACGCCGUAAACGAUGAGUGCUAAGUGUUAGGGGGUUUCCGCCCCUUAGUGCUGCAGCUAACGCAUUAAGCACUCCGCCUGGGGAGUACGACCGCAAGGUUGAAACUCAAAGGAAUUGACGGGGACCCGCACAAGCGGUGGAGCAUGUGGUUUAAUUCGAAGCAACGCGAAGAACCUUACCAAAUCUUGACAUCCUUUGACAACUCUAGAGAUAGAGCCUUCCCCUUCGGGGGACAAAGUGACAGGUGGUGCAUGGUUGUCGUCAGCUCGUGUCGUGAGAUGUUGGGUUAAGUCCCGCAACGAGCGCAACCCUUAAGCUUAGUUGCCAUCAUUAAGUUGGGCACUCUAAGAUGACUGCCGGUGACAAACCGGAGGAAGGUGGGGAUGACGUCAAAUCAUCAUGCCCCUUAUGAUUUGGGCUACACACGUGCUACAAUGGACAAUACAAAGGG